AAAAGUUGAUUUUUUGGUAAAAUGGGGAGAGGUUUAUCUACUAUCUAAACUAAAUUAUAUUCUGACUCAAAGAAAAAAAAAGCUAUUUAACACUUGGUAGAUUCUUUGAUUAAGAUGUAGACCCUCAGGGUCUGUUUGGUAUGUCAUCUUCAUUUAUAAAGUGAAAAGAACAUUUUUCAAAGAUGACUCCAAAAUAUAUAACCAAAUAUGAAAAAAAAAGAUAGAUGAAAAUUGCUAUGUGGCAUGAACAUGUUAAUUAAGUCUGAGGUGUCACCC
rnacentral:lncRNA from 1 species